UCGUCGAACCUGUCAUCCUCUGCUCAAACCCCACCUCACCAACUUGCUCCAAACACGAUCUCGUCGUUGUCCCGCGCGUCAUAAGAAUCCCAAGAAUCAGAUGAAGACGAAGCUAGCAGCGCGAUAUUUCCCAAGCGCUCGACAAAUUGCUUGGAUCGGAAAAUCGCUACCGAUCUUGUGGCUUCGAGUCAGCUGCUGAAACGGUAAGCUGAUAAAUUAUUCAGAAUAAUUUGAUCGUUGAAUAAUUUAAUGUGCUAGUGCGAUACUCAUUAAGGUGCUCGAUAAAUUGCGCAAGUCACGAAACUCUCGUCGACUUCGCAGUUCUUGCGAUUAUCGAGCCAGAUUCAGUUAUAGCGAGUUAUUUCGCUAUUCCGGUCACUUAGCUGAAUUAGUGGACCGAAUAGAAUUUUGGUAGGCAUGCGUGAUGAUAAAAUAUUUUAAUCACUUAUAAAGAUGUAGUAUAAUUUAUAAGGCAAGGGAUUAGUUCAGAAUUAAAUUUGUUAACUGAUAAGUUGUGGUUAGGCUAAUUAUGUUAAGUAUGUAUUGUUUGUGUUUCGUAAUGUUUGCGUUAGAUUCGGUUAGUUUAGAGAAGCGUAAUUAUUGCGCGUAGUCGUCUGUCGAUAACUAGUAUUUUCUUAUAAAAUUGUACAACGCCUCGCCACUAGGUGUUUAAUUCGCUAUCGCGUAGUACUAUUUAGGUUUGAAAUAUUCCUGUCUAUAUGCAUUCAUGUGCAUAAUGCAUUUCAUUCAGGUACGUUAAUUAAUCGCGUGAUGCGGAAGACAAGCCAAGUCGACCCCAAGCGCGGGCUAACCCGCAGGAUGAUGUAGAUGGAUAACCCGAUCAAGUACCAAGACAAAGGCUGCUCGUCAAGCGAACGUCGUCUAACAACACUAACCUAGUGUUACUCAGGCAAGCCCCGGUGCAUGCAACCCCUUCCUUGUGUUUUUAAAUAAUUUUUGCACACUUUAAGUCUAGUGAAAUGUGCAUUAGGUUUAUAGGAGUUGCUUGGAAACCCUUUGAUGCAUUGCCUUCCUUGAUAUCCAUACCUUUAUAGAUACUUCUGGUGAAGUAUCAAAAUAUGAUUUACAAAAAUGCUUAGCCCUGCUUAGAUCUUGUGGAUAGAGGUUGUCCUUAGCCUAGCUCGAGAAAGGAUGGCUUCUAUCUGCAAGAAUAUUUUCAUUGAGAGCGUGGUGGGAUCUUACUGCAAAGUUCCCUUUGAUGCUCUUUUCAUCCUAAGGAAUACAAACAAUCCUAAGGGUGGAAGUACUUAAAUCGGGACAUGGGCUAGGAGCAGGUGAUGCUCCGCCCGGGUCAAUUAAGGAUUGGAUGCGUAUGUAGGCCUGAUAGAUCAAGGACUAUCUUAACUGGCCACAUGCCCUGGAAAUGGGACAGGGUAAGCUUGAACCCGGCUAUUCCAUACGUGAAAAGACAACCGCGCACUGGGCGUGGGAGAUGGUGGGAGUAGCGUGUGCCCUCCUAGCUAGAGGCUGGAUGGAGGAGUACUGUGCUCCCGGGUAGCGCGGACCGGUUCACGUUGUGGAGGAUCUGUGGGAAUGGUUGACAUUUGCAAGGGUUAAGUGCUACAUAUGUCGUGUGGUUAGAGAUCCUCAGCUGAGUAAAUCGAUUCGGAUCGCCGUUAUAUCCCCGGAGAGUGGAGACUUGAUCACUGACCUGCAACCUAAGUCAGGAUGUGAACCUCAUGAAUAAAAAUGAUGUUUUAUUGAUGAGAUGGUGAAAUUAGACCAGAUGCAAACAGAGUCUAUUAAUAUCUAAUCUGGCGUUAAAAUAUUGAAAAUAAGGACUCACUUUAGUAAGCUAUUUCUGCAAAAGUAUCUAAGUUGAUUUUUGAUAAAGCCUCUCCUUGAUUCACAAAUCCAGCAUACCCUUGAGAGUCUUUUCCUUAGUCGGGUAAGACUUGCUGAGUAAUUCCAUACUCAGGGUUUUAUUCCCUAUUGUUUUUCAGGUUCUAACCUUGUGCUGUUGUGAUGGUGUUAAGUGCCGGUGGGCUCGGCCUUCUUAUAAGUUUAAGUAACUCCCUUAUACUUCUUAUUGAGGAUGGUCACUUGAGCUAGCAUAUAUUUCAAACUUAUACUUUUGUAAUCACUCCGAUAAAAUAAUGUAAAAUUUUUG
rnacentral:lncRNA from 1 species